GUCUAUAGCCAUGCCACCCUGAACAAGCCUGAUCUCGUCUGAUCUUGGAAGCUAAGCAGGGUUGGGCCUGGUUAGUACUUGGAUGGGAGACCACCUAGGAAGACCAGGUGCUAUAGGUG
rnacentral:rRNA from 1 species